AGUGAACGCUGGCGGUAGGCCUAACACAUGCAAGUCGAACGGCAGCACAGUAAGAGCUUGCUCUUACGGGUGGCGAGUGGCGGACGGGUGAGGAAUACAUCGGAAUCUACUUUUUCGUGGGGGAUAACGUAGGGAAACUUACGCUAAUACCGCAUACGACCUACGGGUGAUAGCAGGGGAUCUUCGGACCUUGCGCGAUUGAAUGAGCCGAUGUCGGAUUAGCUAGUUGGCGGGGUAAAGGCCCACCAAGGCGACGAUCCGUAGCUGGUCUGAGAGGAUGAUCAGCCACACUGGAACGGAGACACGGUCCAGACUCCUACGGGAGGCAGCAGUGGGGAAUAUUGGACAAUGGGCGCAAGCCUGAUCCAGCCAUACCGCGUGGGUGAAGAAGGCCUUCGGGUUGUAAAGCCCUUUUGUUGGGAAAGAAAAGCAGCAGGUUAAUACCCCGCUGUUCUGACGGUACCCAAAGAAUAAGCACCGGCUAACUUCGUG
rnacentral:rRNA from 1 species